ensembl:lncRNA
CUCCCAAUAGCAGGCAGAAGAGUUAUCUCCAUCCAGAGGUGGCAAAGCCUUCAGGGUUCGACUCACAUUGUCUGUUCUCAAGGGACUCACACACACAAGCUAGACUGCCGAUUUGUUAAUUUGACAGAGAACUGAGACUGUCAGGAGGCUGCACUGGUCAGCACGUCCUCUCCUUCUCGAAGCAAAGCCCCUGGGGAAGCCAGGCACCAGCAGAAGGCUGAUUGGUGAAGUCACAGCCCAGCGAACCACAGGCUCUUCCCGGCGAGAGGCAGGAAGCUGGCAAGCCAGAGCGCACAGCCCCUCAGGCCUGGCGGCCCGUCUCCUGGAAAGAGGACGCCCGCCCUCCGACAUUCUCACACUUCGGAUGCUCCUGUUCUAGAAUCAACUCAUUCGACUAAAACAAUGACUGAUGACAAGUACUGCUCUAGGCCCUGGGAAUAGACGAUAACCCAAGUCGUCCAGCAGCUUCCUGUUGAGUCGGAGAGCAUGAGUGCAAAGAAUCACCAUUUGGGCAAGUUAGCAAAUCAGUCCACCGGUUACAGAAGUGUCACUCAAAGUGGAAUCCACAGGCGUUGUACUAGUGCUGAAAUGUAACUGAUAGAGAUACAGACAGGAAAGGAAUGACCCCUGCCUACAUGGAGCUUAUGGACCUGAGCAUUGUUUUCCAAAUGCUCCUGAUGACAACCAGCAUGUGGAGGACUAGUUAAAAUACACAUUUCCAGGCCCCACCUCAAGCUCUCUGAACUAGAUUCUCCAGGCAAGGGGUCCAAGAGGCUGUAAAUUUAGCAAACACCAUUGGUGAGUGUUAUCACGAGAAUUUUUAUGAAUUUUUCUGGUAGAUUCCACUUCUAUAAGUCGGGGGUGGCGUCUAGGAACUCUGUGGUCCUCAGGGAAGGAGGAAGUCAGUAAGCAUUUUAAGUGGGGAUAGGAGAUAAUCGUGUUCGCAUUUCAGACAGGGAUCACUCUAGCCGUGUGGGUAAGGCAUCAGUAAGAGGGAAAAUGAGAACCCUAAGCCUGCUUAGGAAGCUGCUGGGCUGCUCUGGACAGGACAUAGUGGUACCCGGACUAGACUACUGUUGUGGGAGCUGAGACAGGUGAAUAGACUCGAGAGGCAUCUAGGAGAAGAGUCAACAGGACCUACUGAGGGACUGACGUGGGGCUUAAGGGAGAGAGCAGCAUCAAAGGUGACUCCUGAAUUUCUGGGCUCGAGCUCCUGCAUGGACGGAGAGGCCCUGCACUGGGAUAGCAACAGCAGGAGAAGGAAGGCUUUGGGGCAUGGAAAGGGUCGAUCAUGAGUUUAGCUUUGGGAAAUUUGAGAUCCACAUGCCACAGGUACAUCUAAGUGGAGACAGAUGUUCAAUAUGGAGUUGUACGUAGGAAUUCUGCUCUAGACUGAGUGUUCCUAUCCCCCUAAGUUCAUAUGUUGAAACCCAAACCCCCAGUGGCAUGGUAUUUGGAAGUGGGGCCUUUGGCAGGUGAUUAGGUCAUGAAGGUGGAGCCCUUAGGAAUGGGAUUAGUGUCCUUAUAUAAAAGAGGCCCCAGAGAGCUCCCUCGUCCCUCUGCCACGUGAGGACACAGAAAGAAGACGGCUGCCUACGAACCAGGAGGAGGGCUCUUACCACAGAGUGUGCCGGCGCCUUGAUCCGGGCCUUCCAGCCCCCAGAACCGUGAGAAAUACAUGUUAUGUAGUCUAUAAGCCACCAGGCUGUGGUGUUUUUGUUGUGGCCGCCCAAACGGACUAAGACAAAUCCCUAGCUGCACAGAAGAAUCUGGGAUGGAUAUUUCCACUUUGGGAGCCAUCAGAUGAAAGAAUCCUUGAAGAUAUGACAGUGAAUAAGAUUGCCUUGAGAGUGUGUGUAUCCAUGAGAAUGGCGAAGACAAAAAGAAGUCUGAACAUUUAAAGAAGACGCUAGACAGAGACAUAUGUGGAGAAGGUAUAGCCUGGGAAGUAGAGGGAAAACCAAGAGUGAGAAGUCACUGAAACCAAAGGAAAAGAUGGCUUUCCUUUGGGGAAAUGGCCAACGCUGCAGAAUGCUGCUGAGGGUCAAAUAAGGGUCAGAGAAAAGAUGUGAGAUUUGAAAGUCAACUGCAAUGAUGUUGACAGGCAUUAGAAAUCAAUUCUCGACCAUGGCCGUUCAGACUGCUUAUUCCUGACAGCUAAAGACUAAAUCUGAAUCUUGACCACAUUCCCAGAAUCGCCUUUCCCUCCUGCAUGGAAAGGAGGAGAUUCCUCCGUAAUGAAGACAUACGUUUGAAGUCAUAAGGCUCUAAUUUAAAGUACGUGAUUUAAGACAUCACAUUAAAGCUUAGAUUACUCCUAAGAUUGCUUUAGAAUGCGGACAUAUUAAAGGCUCAGAAAGCUGUCAACUUACAUGACUCCCGUUCCUGAGUUUGAGGCAGCGAUCUUCCUGUGUUCAUCUUUACAUCCCAGGUUCCAUGCGUGAUGGCAUGCACAGAGUGGGUCUUCUAUGAAUGUCUGUGGAAUGAAAGCGUACAUGAAUGACUGCAUGAGGCUUCCGGGUGAGAGGAAACCCUGUGCUAAGUCACUUCCCUUCCAUUGACUGGGCCGGAAGCAUCCUGCAGCCUCUUCAGUUGGAAUCAAUUGAUUUUCACAUUCACAUUCUGAUGCAGAUGCAGCCCUGGGCUCUUAAAUUACUUCAACAGGAGGAACAUUAGCACAUAUCCCAUCAUAUGAAGCUUUGUUGAAUGUGUUUAUCUCUUUUAGAAGAUUCUGGACUCUACGCCUUUUCCAGUUUUAUAUUCCUGGUGCCUCGCAUGGCAUGCGACAUGUGGUAGAUUUUCAGCAGCUAUUCCAAGAAUGAAUUGGAAGCCCACUGGGAUUGCAUCCUAGUCGUCAAUGGCUGGAUCUUGGUCAAGUCACCGCACCUCUGGGGGUCAGAGUUUGCUCAUCCAUAAAACAGAUGCUUUUUAUCAUUCUGUGACUCCUGCUUAACAGACUAGAAAGAAAUACUUGGCUGCAGAGUCAUAUCAAAGAUUGAGAAACUCACAAGAAGUUUUCUCGUACAUAAAAUUUCUUAGGAAGGAG